GCAAACUUGGUCAUUUAGAGGAAGUAAAAGUCGUAACAAGGUAACCGUAGGUGAACCUGCGGUUGGAUCAUUAAUAAAUUCAAUCAAAAAAAGAAGAAGCACUUUUUUUAAAAAUGCUUUCUUUUUUUUUACACACAAUGUGAACUGUUUAUUGUCUCUGGUGGUGUUAAAAGCUUUUCGAAAGAAAAGUGGGAAUUUGAAACAGGUUCCUACCCACCGAUUUAAAUAAAAAACAUUUUUUAAAAAAAAACAAAAAUUGGCCUUUAUAUCUUUUUGAAAAAAAGUUAAAUUAAAAAACAACUUUUGGCAACGGAUCUCUAGGCUCUUGCAUCGAUGAAGAACGCAGC
rnacentral:misc_RNA from 1 species